UACGCUUAUGAGCUACAAACAUGAAGCAUUUGUUUUGUUUUAAUUUUUUUUUUUGACGAUUGUAACCUGGAAACAAAGAAACAGAACAAAAGAAAAAACAGAAAGCUGAAACCCGUGAACAAGCCCUCAUGGGGGAGCAGCAACAGCAUCAGAUUGGAGGAUAUGAAGCAAGGAAGGAGGUGGAUUUUCAACCCAGUUCAAAGAGCUCUCGAACCGUGAAGCAAGGUGCGCAGCAGCAUCAGCAGCUGCGUUUGCUUCUCUACCGGUACAAAGUUACAAACAUGAAGCAUUUAGAAGUAGAAGAUCGAAGAAGACUUGCUCGAGUGGCUCACAAGUGAUCACAAAGCUAAGCUUCAAUUCAAUUCUCAGCAAUUUCCUGCAGUGACAUCUCAACUGUUAUAACUAAGUGGAGUGAGUAUCAAGUCCCCUCGACUUCACUACUACUACUUCGUCGACUUCGAUUCAGUUCAAUUCACUUGGGCCACUUUUCUCCAAGCAAGUGGAGUGAUAGCUCGCACAUGUUGCUAUCAUCAAAUAUAAAUUGCGAUAAAUCUUUUUAUGUAUUCUAUUGGUGCUUUC